CCUACGGGUGGCAGCAGUGGGGAAUAUUGCACAAUGGGGGAAACCCUGAUGCAGCGACGCCGCGUGAGUGAAGAAGUAUUUCGGUAUGUAAAGCUCUAUCAGCAGGGAAGAAAAUGACGGUACCUGAUUAAGAAGCCCCGGCUAACUACGUGCCAGCAGCCGCGGUAAUAAGUAGGGGGCAAGCGUUAUCCGGAUUUACUGGGUGGAAAGGGGGCGUCGGCGGCAGAGCAAGGCUGCAGUGAAAUGCCGGGGGCUAAACCCGGAACUGCUUUGGAAACUGUGCAACUAGAGGGCAGGAGAGGUGAGUGGAAUUCCUAGUGUAGCGGUGAAAUGCGUAGAUAUUAGGAGGAACACCGGUGGCGAAGGCGGCUUACUGGACUGUAACUGACGUUGAGGCUCGAAAGCGUGGGGAGCAAACAGGAUUAGAUACCCCUGUAGUC
rnacentral:rRNA from 1 species